UACGAAGGGGGCUAGCGUUGUUCGGAAUUACUGGGCGUAAAGCGCACGUAGGCGGAUUUUUAAGUCAGGGGUGAAAUCCCGAGGCUCAACCUCGGAACUGCCUUUGAUACUGGAGAUCUUGAGUUCGGAAGAGGUUGGUGGAACAGCUAGUGUAGAGGUGAAAUUCGUAGAUAUUAGCUAGAACACCAGUGGCGAAGGCGGCCAACUGGUCCGAUACUGACGCUGAGGGGCGAAAGCGUGGGGAGCAAACAGG
rnacentral:rRNA from 1 species